GAUGAACGCUGGCGGCGUGCCUAAUACAUGCAAGUCGAGCGAACGGACGAGAAGCUUGCUUCUCUGAUGUUAGCGGCGGACGGGUGAGUAACACGUGGAUAACCUACCUAUAAGACUGGGAUAACUUCGGGAAACCGGAGCUAAUACCGGAUAAUAUUUUGAACCGCAUGGUUCAAAAGUGAAAGACGGUCUUGCUGUCACUUAUAGAUGGAUCCGCGCUGCAUUAGCUAGUUGGUAAGGUAACGGCUUACCAAGGCAACGAUGCAUAGCCGACCUGAGAGGGGGGUCAGCCACACUAGAACUGGGACACGGGCCAGACUCCUACGGGAAGCAGCCGGAGGGAAUCUUCCGCAAUGGGCGAAAGCCUGACGGAGCAACGCCGAGUGAGUGAUGAAGGUCUUCGGAUCGUAAAACUCUGUUAUUAGGGAAGAACAUAUGUGUAAGUAACUGUGCACAUCUUGACGGUACCUAAUCAGAAAGCCACGGCUAACUACGUG
rnacentral:rRNA from 1 species